GUUAUCUGUGCCUUACAUGCAAAGGGCGCUGUUAAAAAGCCCUCGUCAACACCGCGGAGCGCCGCUUUGAGGCUGUGAUUUGCCCGUGUGGGAGCCAGUGGGAUCCGUCGCAUCUGCUCGGACCCCUACUUCACGGAAGGAACCAAUAUACAGCGCUAAACGAGGGAUGGCUGUAGAUACUCGUGUCCAAAGGGACGACCAUACAAGGAAAAGCUAAGAACCGGAGUGCGUCCCAGUUCCCACCGGAGCGAGCAGCGUGAGGUGAUGCAAUCAUCCGACACAAUACAAAAAUCCACCAAGUCCACCUCCUCCUUCUUUUUCUUCCUCUUCUUCUUCUUCUUCACAGAGGGACAAAUCGAUGCUUUCAUUAUGCCCUUAAUUACGCUACACUACAUCCUGCCACGUGUCACGCUGCUUCAAUGACAGCCCGAGGAAGAACAGGAGCAAAGGCACACAAUGUGUAAUUAAGACAUGAAAGCAAGUGUUAAUAAUUCACAUCAUGUUAAGUUCAAUACACGCUAGCUUGCAUCGUCUCGUACUUUUCUAAUGCAAUAGAAAAGCAACUUUUCAAGGCGCACGUCUCCUUAAUUUGGAUAAGAGCUUUGGGCUGACCUUGCCCGCCCCGAGCUGUCACAGGGACAGAUCGUUACCGUCGCUAAUGAAUCCCGGAGCAGGAAAAAACGUCCGCUUGUGCACGUAAGGCGCGCGUUAAUCGUGCAGCCGCCACGCGGGGGGGUCUAUUAGCGGCACGGCUACCCCAUGCCGAGUCGGGGAGAUAAUAAAAUGUCACUUUAUUUGCUGCUUUUGUUCAUUAAAACCUGAAUGAACUCUGGAUGCACUUGGAAGGCCAAAAUGACAUCUCGGGAUGUUAUUUCCAAGGCGGCGACUGUAAUUAUUUCCCAACUUUCUCCGCCCCGUGGUGGUCCGCGUGUGAGUUUGAAUGGAACAGUUGGCUGGAACAGCAGGCGUUUGUCAGGAACUUGGACGGGAUUGGCGGCUUUAACCUACGCCACAUCCCAAAAAGUCAAUGUAAAGUUGACUUUGAUCAAAUUUACUCCAAGAAGACAUCGGGGGCGACUCCUGGACGCGGAAUCAUGGCGGUCAUUAUUAAUGACAUUACAAGCACAGGCAGCAGUUGGAACACGUGUCCAAUUAACGCAAUCUAAUAUAAAUUUGAUGGAGCUUGCCAUUAUUGGCGCCAUGCACGCGUGAGAAAUGAAAACAUCUGAGCGACCGUGCUCGGUCGCAGGGAGACGGCUAAUGAAAAAAGAUGAUGCAUGUAAUAAGACACGCUAACGGAGAGGAAUUUUGGUGCAGUCAACGCCGCGUCAGCCUCGGCCCGGUCAACAUUUACGUUCCAAGUCCAAGCGUGGCAUCAACAGACCGUUAAGUGAUGAAACCCGGUGGCCGCGUAAUGCUAACAAGCAUUAAAGUUGACGGAUGGCUCUAUUAAGUUGGCUGGAGGAGGCGGCUCGCUAAAGUUUAUGAUGAUUUUAGCAUACUUUCUUUCCCUUUUGAGUAUCCGCUACAGCAGGGAAGCUUUCCACGCAGUAAAAGUACAAAUACAAAUCAUUGAAAAUAAAACACGCCACCCACUGUCAUGGAUGCAAUUACAGUUGGAGCCUUUAUUUACCUAAAACACGUUAAGUGGAAGCAGCCACGUUUAGUAUUAGAAGUUAGUAUUAAACUUGAAUCAUGAUUUGGAGUGCAUGAGAAAGUGGAAAUGUAGUGCUCUUUGACCACUUUUAUUAGCAAGCUCUGCAGCAACACAACCAAUGUUGGAAUAAGACGUGGGCAACACGGAUGGAUGCCCAAUGAAGCUACUGCCAUCUGGUGGACCACAUGUUCCGUUAAGGGUUUUCAACAACACAGCAGCAAUAGAACCAAUGUUGUAAUGAUCAAUG